rnacentral:rRNA from 1 species
UACGUAGGGACCAAGCGUUGUUCGGAUUUACUGGGCGUAAAGGGCGCGUAGGCGGUGUUGUAAGUCACUUGUGAAAUCUCUGAGCUUAACUCAGAACGGCCAAGUGAUACUGCAGCACUAGAGUGCAGAAGGGGCAAUCGGAAUUCUUGGUGUAGCGGUGAAAUGCGUAGAUAUCAAGAGGAACACCUGAGGUGAAGACGGGUUGCUGGGCUGACACUGACGCUGAGGCGCGAAAGCCAGGGGAGCAAACGGG